CCUACGGGAGGCAGCAGUAAGGAAUAUUGGUCAAUGGAGGCAACUCUGAACCAGCCAUGCCGCGUGCAGGAAGACGGCCCUAUGGGUUGUAAACUGCUUUUAUCUGGGAAUAAACCUUUUUACGUGUAAGAAGCUGAAUGUACCAGAAGAAUAAGGAUCGGCUAACUCCGUGCCAGCAGCCGCGGUAAUACGGAGGAUCCAAGCGUUAUCCGGAUUUAUUGGGUUUAAAGGGUGCGUAGGCGGCCUGUUAAGUCAGAGGUGAAAGACGGUAGCUCAACUAUCGCAGUGCCUUUGAUACUGACGGGCUUGAAUAAACUAGAGGUAGGCGGAAUGAGACAAGUAGCGGUGAAAUGCAUAGAUAUGUCUCAGAACACCGAUUGCGAAGGCAGCUUACUAUGGUUUUAUUGACGCUGAGGCACGAAAGCGUGGGGAUCAAACAGGAUUAGAUACCCUGGUAGUCCACGCCCUAAACGAUGAAUACUCGCUGUUAGCGAUAUACCAGUUAGUCGGCGUAGACGAAGACGUUAAGUUAGUUACCGUACCGUCGGGAGGUACGCGUCGUCGAGAGUUAGUAACGUUACGAAAGGAAGUUAGACGGCGNGAGACGUUGCGACGGACGACGACGAGGGAGGAGG
rnacentral:rRNA from 1 species